UUUGAAAUGGAGUUUCGCUCUUGUUGCCCAGGCUGGAGUGCAAUGGCACAUUCUCGGCUCACUGCAACCUCUGCCUCCCAGGUUCAAGCGAUUCUCCUGCCUCAACCUCCCGAGUAGCUGGGAUUACAGGCAUGAGCUACCACGCCUGGCUAAUUUUGUAUUUUUAGUAGAGAUGGGGUUUCUCCAUGUUGGUCAGGCUGGUCUCAAACUCCUGACCUCAGGUGAUCUACCUGCCUCGGCCUCCCAAAUUGCUGGGAUUACAGGCG
rnacentral:lncRNA from 1 species